UACAGAGGGUGCGAGCGUUAAUCGGAAUUACUGGGCGUAAAGCGCACGUAGGCGGCUUGGUAUGUCGGGUGUGAAAUCCCCGGGCUCAACCUGGGAACUGCAUCCGAAACUGCCUUGCUCGAGUAUGGGAGAGGGAAGUGGAAUUUCCGGUGUAGCGGUGAAAUGCGUAGAUAUCUGGAGGAACACCGGUGGCGAAGGCGGCAUCCUGGACCGGCAUUGACGCUGAGGCGCGAAAGCCAGGGGAGCAAACGGG
rnacentral:rRNA from 1 species